AUGUUGAUUUUACCAAAUUAUUUUGCUCAAUUUUUGCCUUUUGCUCAACUAGGAUACCUGUUUUGUCUAAAGAAAGGCAAGCAGUUACUCAAGAUGGGCAAGAGGAAGUUCACUGGUCUGGAAAGCACCCUGAUUGCCCUGUUCUGUCUGGUGACUGUGGUGGCCAUUGUCCUCAUUGCACUGUUAGCAUCAGGACAACCUGGAGUCCAAAUAAGUACUGAACAAAAUGUAACAGAAUUUACACCAGUAUGUCCGAACAUAUUAAUAGAAGAGAGAAUUGACUGCAUCCCAGAUCAACUUGCUACAAAGGUCUGAAAACAUUAUAGAAAAAAUUACAAAAUAGAAUUUCUCACAAAAAGAUUCAUGUUUAAUUAUGAAAAUUUACUUCGUCUCUACUAUAUUGGCGGUUUUAUAACUUUUUUUUUGCUGUUUUUGUCUCUGAACAUCUAAAUGCUUUGUGGGGAAGCUUAACUCCUGUAUAAACAAUUUUAGCUCUUUGUCAGAAGGUCUAUUUUUUCUAGCCACUGUGGCAGUAUACUGUGAGGGGUUGAAGACCUCUGCCAAUAUACUUCCCAGCAGUUUGGCUUUGUGAUAAGCAGGAACAAAAUUAGGCAAACAAGAUAUGGUUAGAAAAAUUGUUUUCAACAAUAUUGCCUAAGCAAUUUAUUUGUCUGGUAGUCAACCAGCAUUUACAAUUAAGCAUAUUUUAGAAAUAGGUCAAGAAGCACUUUACACAGAUGAACAUGAUUUUUAUAAUGCAAUGAACACUUCCAAUUUCCUUUCAGAACUGAUUUGAAUCUCACUUUCUCUCUUUCUUGGUUGUUGUCUCUCAUCUGAGCAAGCACAGAGUUUAGAAAUGACCUUCUUGUUUAAGAAUCCAUGAGUUUAGUUUUCCAGUGAAAAAUAGCAUCUUAAUUUUUUAGUCCUCUCACAUUCAGAACAUUUUUAUAGUGGCUGUUAUAGGAAGGCUAUUACUGAGGCUAUUAUUGUUAUUUUUAUAAUCAUUAUUAUUAUUCAGUUUAUGAUGGAUGUUCUUAAUUUCUGAUGGAAUCUGAUGGGUGCCUGCCAUCUUUCUUUUCUUCGUGGGGUGCAGUUUAUAAGAAAAGACAGAGAGUAUAUUAUGAUAUGUGAUACUUACAUCAUUCACAGCGGUAUAAAAAAUGAUUAAUCAACUGUCUCAGUCUCUCAGUGAAUUCCCAAUCCAAUUCCAGAAAAGACAGUUGUUAAUGCUACUGUCAUGCCAUGGUUUGUAUUAUGAUAUAUAGUUCAAUAAAGUCUGCAGGUUAACAGAUUAGUAAAGGCUC
rnacentral:lncRNA from 1 species